GUCUAUGCCAUGCCACCCUGAACAAGCCCGAUCCCAUCUGAUCUCAGGAGCUAAGCAGGAUCUCCCAUCGGGACUUGGAUGGGAGACCACCUAGGAAGACCAGGUGCUGUAGGUG
rnacentral:rRNA from 1 species